UACGUAGGGUGCGAGCGUUAAUCGGAAUUACUGGGCGUAAAGCGUGCGCAGGCGGUUUUGUAAGUCUGUCGUGAAAUCCCCGGGCUUAACCUGGGAAUUGCGAUGGAGACUGCAAGGCUAGAAUCUGGCAGAGGGGGGGUAGAAUUCCACGUGUAGCAGUGAAAUGCGUAGAGAUGUGGAGGAACACCGAUGGCGAAGGCAGCCCCCUGGGUCAAGAUUGACGCUCAUGCACGAAAGCGUGGGGAGCAAACAGG
rnacentral:rRNA from 1 species